rnacentral:rRNA from 1 species
AGCGAACGCUGGCGGCAGGCCUAACACAUGCAAGUCGAACGAACCUUUCGGGGUUAGUGGCGGACGGGUGAGUAACACGUGGGAACGUGCCUUUAGGUUCGGAAUAACUCAGGGAAACUUGUGCUAAUACCGAAUGUGCCCUUCGGGGGAAAGAUUAAUCGCCUUUAGAGCGGCCCGCGUCUGAUUAGCUAGUUGGUUGAGGUAAUGGCUCACCAAGGCGACGAUCAGUAGCUGGUCUGAGAGGAUGAUCAGCCACAUUGGGACUGAGACACGGCCCAAACUCCUCCGGGAGGCAGCAGUGGGGAAUCUUGCGCAAUGGGCGAAAGCCUGACGCAGCCAUGCCGCGUGAAUGAUGAAGGUCUUAGGAUUGUAAAAUUCUUUCACCGGGGACGAUAAUGACGGUACCCGGAGAAGAAGCCCCGGCUAACUUCG